AUUGAACGCUGGCGGCAGGCCUAACACAUGCAAGUCGAGCGAGCGGCGGACGGGUGAGUAAUGUAUGGGGAACUGCCCGAUGGAGGGGGAUAACUACUGGAAACGGUAGCUAAUACCGCAUACUAUCGGAUGAACCCAAAUGGGAUUAGCUAGUAGGUGGGGUAAAGGCUCACCUAGGCGACGAUCCCUAGCUGUGCUGAGAGGAUGACCAGCCACACUGGAACUGAGACACGGCCCAGACUCCUACGGGAGGCAGCAGUGGGGAAUAUUGCACAAUGGGCGCAAGCCUGAUGCAGCCAUGCCGCGUGUAUGAAGAAGGCCUUCGGGUUGUAAAGUACUUUCAGCGGGGAGGCGUUACCCGCAGAAGAAGCACCGGCUAACUCCGUGCCAGCAGCCGCGGUAAUAC
rnacentral:rRNA from 1 species